rnacentral:miRNA from 1 species
UGGGCGUAUCUGUAUGCUAGGG